rnacentral:rRNA from 1 species
GACGAACGCUGGCGGCGUGCCUAAUACAUGCAAGUAGAACGCAGUUUCGAACGGGUGAGUAACGCGUAGGUAACUGCCUCAUAGCGGGGGAUAACUAUUGGAAACGAUAGCUAAUACCGCAAACUGUGAGCUGGACCUGCUUUGUAUUAGCUAGGUGGUGAGGUAAAGGCGCACCAAGGCGACGAUACAUAGCCGACCUGAGAGGGAGAUCGGGCAAAACUGGACUGAGGCAAGGCCCAGACUCCUACGGGGGGCCGCAGGAGGGGAACUGCGGAAAAUGAGGGAAGGCUGACCGAGGAACGCCGGGGGAGAUAAGAAGGUUUUCGGAUCGUAAAGCUCUGUUGUGAGAGAAGCGUUAACCAAACAGAAAGGGACGGCUAACUACGUGCCAGCAGCCGCGGUAAUAC